rnacentral:lncRNA from 1 species
AAACACCUUUCUUUGCCAAUUAUGGCUAUCAUCCACGACUUGAUACUUUUGAUUUUUCAAAAGUUGAUAAUCCUGCAGCAGAAGAUAUGGCAAAUCGGUUGUCAGAGUUACAUGCAAUAAUGAAGGCGCAGUUGAAGAAAGCUCAAGAACGACAAAAGAUAAAUGCAGAUGUAUAUCGUAAAGAGCAACCACAACUCAACGUGGGUGAUAAGGUAUGGCUACUUCGUCGCAAUAUCAAGACCACUCGACCUUGUGACAAAUUGGACUAUCGUAGGCUUAGCCCCUUUUCUGUUUCUGAACAGAUCAACCCAGUUGCAUAUCGGUUACAUCUACCGGAGUCAAUGAAGAUCCAUCCUGUAUUCCACGUGUCUCUUCUUGAACCAUAUAAGACAGUGGAUAUACAAGGAAGAAGACAAAUGCCACCGCCUCCUAUAGAAGUAGAUAAUAAUGAAGAAUUUGAGGUGGAAGAGAUAUUAGACUCAAGGCGGUGCCGAAAUAAGCUGGAAUAUCUUGUUCAUUGGCGCAGAUAUGAUAUUAGUGAGCGCACAUGGGAGCCAUCCAGGAAUCUAGCAAAUGCAUCAGCUAAAGUCAAAGUUUUUCAUCAACGACAUCCAUCGAAACCAAGAUGAAAAC